GUAGGUGGCAAGCGUUGUCCGGAAUUAUUGGGCGUAAAGCGCGCGCAGGCGGUCCUUUAAGUCUGAUGUGAAAGCCCACGGCUCAACCGUGGAGGGUCAUUGGAAACUGGGGGACUUGAGUACAGAAGAGGAAAGCGGAAUUCCAAGUGUAGCGGUGAAAUGCGUAGAGAUUUGGAGGAACACCAGUGGCGAAGGCGGCUUUCUGGUCUGUAACUGACGCUGAGGCGCGAAAGCGUGGGGAGCAAACAGGGAUUAGAUACCCUGGUAGUCCACGCCGUAGACGAUGAGUGCUAAGUGUUAGGGGGGUUUCCGCCCCCUUAGUGCUGCAGCUAACGCAUUAAGCACUCCGCCUGGGGAGUACGGCCGCAAGGCUG
rnacentral:rRNA from 1 species